UCAGAUUAGUAUGACAGGGCGGCGCAACAUCGAGGGUCAAAGGGUCUGUACUGUGCUGUAAUGUUCUAUGUUAUUUUACCUAACAAAAGAUCUUGCUCUUUUUGCUCUUCAGUAACUGGAUAACAAGUGGUAGCAUGAAUGUUAGCCGUUUCUUUGCCCAUGAUGUUGGUCAUUGCUCCCUUUUGGAAAGCAACUUGUUCCACAGCGGAAUUUGAACAUGGCAACUGAACUGGAGUGUGAGAUAUGCAGAGCCAAUUUCAUGAAGAGAAAGGAAAAACACGCAUGAAUUUCUGCGGCAAAUGACAUCCAUGCUGAACCAGCACUAUUAUCUGGGUGUUACUGAUCUAAUUGGAUGGAAAAUGCAGGGUCAGCUGCAUCUCAACUUAUGUCCUAUUAGGGUUCUGCUGGCUAAGAUAACAGUAGCCCUAUGGGACGUCACCCAUGGUCCUGGUUAAUCUCUUUAUUCUUACAUGGGGCAUUGAAGAAAUUUAAGAGUAAAUCACAUUGCUGUGGAGCUGUAGUCGCAUCUAGGCCAGACUGCAGACUUCCCUCCUAAAGGGAAUAAGUGAACAAGGUGGGUUUUUAUGAUAUUUGAUAUGGUUUCGUGAUUGAGACAAGCUGUUACUUUGAGCAUUUUAUUGAUUGAAUUUAAACUGCACCAACCACCAUGGUGGGACUUGUGUCCACAUCCCCAGAACAUUAGCCUCUAUAUCUGGUUUAUAACACUGUGGCAUUACAACCACGUACGUCACUGUCUCCACUAUGAAUGUGUUUUUAACUGAAUUCAUUUUAAAAUUUUUAUUUGAUUUUUAAAAUAAUGUUUUCUAAUCUUAUUUCCGAGGAACACAGAAACAUUCAGCCAUAGAGCUUGCUUCAUCAUUCUAGAUCUUCAAUGCCACUUUCCUACACUAUUCCCAUAUUCUUUUGCAUCAUUUGUCUUAGAAACCUAUUGAUUUUGUGGCUUGAACCUUCCCAACAAUUGAGCUCGCAGAGUCCUCUGAAGUAGAGUUCCAAAACUUCACCACCUGUUGAAUAAAGGAACUCUCUCUCAUCUCUGUUUUAAAUAACUUUAUCUAAGAUGAUAUCCCAUGCUUGAGUUACCUGCCUGAGGAAACAUCUACAUCCAUUCUCUUAGACCCUGAAUUGAGAAUUUCAAUAAGAUUACUUCUCACUCUUCAAAAUUCUAGGGAAUGCACACCAGUUUUCUCAAUCUCUCCUCAUAAACAAUUCAACUAUCCCAGUAUCCUUCUUUAGAUAAGGAGAUCAAAAUUGUAAAUUGUAAAGAUGAGGUCUCACCAAAGCUGUAUACAAUGACAGCAAGGUAUCUUUACACCCCCGGGAAAUGAGUGCCAAUGUACCAUUUGUCUUUCUAAUUGCUUGCUAGCUUUUCGUGACUCAUGGACAUGCAGAUCUUUCUGGGUACCCAAGAUUUCCCACUUCUCACCACUUAAGAAAUAUUCUAUCUUGCCUUUUAUUCUAUCCAAGUAAACAACUUCACACUUAUUUAUAUUAUAUUCCAUCUGCCAUGUUCUAAACCAUUCAAUUAGACUCUCCAAAUCCUCCUGAAGCCUUCAGGCA